CCUGGCAACGAUAGCGCGGUGGUCCCACCUGACCCCAUGCCGAACUCAGAAGUGAAACGCCGUAGCGCCGAUGGUAGUGUGGGGUAGUCGCUUAAC
rnacentral:rRNA from 1 species